rnacentral:rRNA from 1 species
UACGUAGGUGGCAAGCGUUGUCCGGAUUUACUGGGCGUAAAGAGCGCGCAGGCGGUCGUAUAAGUCGAAUGUGAAAGCCCCCGGCUCAACUGGGGAGGGUCAUUCGAUACUGGCGGGCUCGAGGCAGGUAGGGGGAAGCGGAAUUCCCGGUGUAGUGGUGGAAUGCGUAGAUAUCGGGAGGAACACCAGUGGCGAAGGCGGCUUCCUGGACCUGUUCUGACACUGAGGAGCGAAAGCGUGGGGAGCGAUCCGG